UACGGAAGGCAGCAGUGGGGAAUAUUGCACAAUGGGCGCAAGCCUGAUGCAGCCAUGCCGCGUGUAUGAAGAAGGCCUUCGGGUUGUAAAGUACUUUCAGUCGUGAGGAAGGUGUUAAGGUUAAUAACCUUAGCAAUUGACGUUAGCGACAGAAGAAGCACCGGCUAACUCCGUGCCAGCAGCCGCGGUAAUACGGAGGGUGCGAGCGUUAAUCGGAAUUACUGGGCGUAAAGGGCACGCAGGCGGUUAAUUAAGUUGGAUGUGAAAUCCCCGGGCUUAACCUGGGAAUGGCAUUCAAGACUGGUUAGCUAGAGUCUUGUAGAGGGGGUAGAAUUCCAUGUGUAGCGGCGAAAUGCGUAGAGAUGUGGAGGAAUACCGGUGGCGAAGGCGGCCCCUGGACAAAGACUGACGCUCAUGUGCGAAAGCGUGGGGAGCAAAC
rnacentral:rRNA from 1 species